CUCGAUCUCCUGACCUCGUGAUCCACCCGCCUCGGCUUCCCAAAGUGCUAGGAUUACAGGCGUGAGCCACCGCACCCGGCCUUCUAAGGGUUUUAUAGUUUUAGUUCUUACAUUUAGGUCGUUGAUCCAUAUUUAGUUAAUUUUUGCAUAUGGUGUGAGGAAGGAAGUGUAUAAUUUUAAUUCCUGCUUAGCCUGACGAUAAUCAUGUGACCCUUGGUAAGUUCUUGCACCUAAGUCUCAAUUUCCUUAUUUGUAAAGUGAGAAUAACAAAUGGUAGCUAAAUCAUAAGAUUACAGUGAAGAUAGAAAAUUUACGUAGAGCAUUUAUCACACUGCUUGAAGCAUCCUAACUACUCGAUAAAUGCGGUCGGUGUUACAGUUAUAACAUGAGCGAUGAAUGCGUGCUUCCACAGUGGAGUGCCAGAAAGACCGGCAGCAUUUCUGAGAAGG
rnacentral:lncRNA from 1 species